rnacentral:rRNA from 1 species
CAGCAGCCGCGGGAAUACGUAGGGUGCGAGCGUUAAUCGGAAUUACUGGGCGUAAAGCGCGUGUAGGCGGGCGUUUAAGUCAGGGGUGAAACGCCAAGGCUCAACCUUAGAACUGCCUUUGAUACUGAAUGUCUUGAGUCCGGGAGAGGUGAGUGGAACUGCGAGUGUAGAGGUGAAAUUCGUAGAUAUUCGCAAGAACACCAGUGGCGAAGGCGGCUCACUGGCCCGGAACUGACGCUGAGACGCGAAAGCGUGGGGAGCAAACAGGAUUAGAUACCCCUGUAGUCCCUGUCUCUUAUAC